UACGUAGGCAGCAAGCGUUGUUCGGAGUUACUGGGCGUAAAGGGUGUGUAGGCGGUUGUUUAAGUUUGGUGUGAAAUCUCCCGGCUUAACUGGGAGGGGUCCUGGAAAACUGUCAGGCUUGAGGCAGGGAGAGGGAUGUGGAAUUCCCGGUGUAGUAGUGAAAUGCGUAGAUAUCGGGAAGAACACCCGUGGCGAAGGCGGCUCUCUGGGACGGUACUGACGCUGAGACGCGAAAGCGUGGGGAGCGAACAGG
rnacentral:rRNA from 1 species